rnacentral:rRNA from 1 species
UCCGGGCGCGUAAUUCAAGGGGUUGAGACGUGUGCCCUUGUGGCACGAAGCAAUCGGAAGUGGUUCCAAGAAAAGCCUCUAAGCUUCAGUCAUACGAGACCGUACCGCAAACCGACACAGGUGGGCGAGAUGAGUAUUCUAAGGCGCUUGAGAGAACUCGGGAGAAGGAACUCGGCAAAUUGGUACCGUAACUUCGGGAAAAGGUACGCCUCGGUAGCUUGAAUGCUUUACUGCAUGAGGGCGAAAAGGUUGCAAUAAACUGGUGGCUGCGACUGUUUAAUAAAAACACAGCACUCUGCAAACACGAAAGUGGACGUAUAGGGUGUGACGCCUGCCCGGUGCUGGAAGAUUAAAUGAUGGGGUGCAAGCUCUUGAUUGAAGUCCCAGUAAACGGCGGCCGUAACUAUAACGGUCCUAAGGUAGCGAAAUUCCUUGUCGGGUAAGUUCCGACCUGCACGAAUGGCGUAACGAUGGCGGCGCUGUCUCCACCCGAGACUCAGUGAAAUUGAAAUCGCUGUGAAGAUGCAGUGUAUCCGCGGCUAGACGGAAAGACCCCGUGAACCUUUACUGCAGCUUGACAUUGAACUUUGACCUUACUUGUGUAGGAUAGGUGGGAGGCUUUGAAGCGGGGACGCCAGUUCUCGUGGAGCCAUCCUUGAAAUACCACCCUGGUUCAUUUGAGGUUCUAACCUUGGUCCGUUAUCCGGAUCGGGGACAGUGCAUGGUAGGCAGUUUGACUGGGGCGGUCUCCUCCUAAAGAGUAACGGAGGAGUACGAAGGUGCGCUCAGCGUGGUCGGAAAUCACGCGUAGAGUAUAAAGGCAAAAGCGCGCUUAACUGCGAGACCCACAAGUCGAGCAGGUACGAAAGUAGGUCUUAGUGAUCCGGUGGUUCUGUAUGGAAGGGCCAUCGCUCAACGGAUAAAAGGUACUCUGGGGAUAACAGGCUGAUUCCUCCCAAGAGUUCAUAUCGACGGGGGAGUUUGGCACCUCGAUGUCGGCUCAUCACAUCCUGGGGCUGUAGCCGGUCCCAAGGGUAUGGCUGUUCGCCAUUUAAAGUGGUACGUGAGCUGGGUUUAAAACGUCGUGAGACAGUUUGGUCCCUAUCUGCCGUGGGCGUUGGAAAUUUGAAGGGGGCUGCUCCUAGUACGAGAGGACCGGAGUGGACGAACCUCUGGUGUACC